rnacentral:rRNA from 1 species
GGCUCAGGACGAACGCUGGCGGCGUGCCUAAUACAUGCAAGUCGAGCGGACAGAAGGGAGCUUGCUCCCGGAUGUUAGCGGCGGACGGGUGAGUAACACGUGGGUAACCUGCCUGUAAGACUGGGAUAACUCCGGGAAACCGGAGCUAAUACCGGAUAGUUCCUUGAACCGCAUGGUUCAAGGAUGAAAGACGGUUUCGGCUGUCACUUACAGAUGGACCCGCGGCGCAUUAGCUAGUUGGUGGGGUAAUGGCUCACCAAGGCGACGAUGCGUAGCCGACCUGAGAGGGUGAACGGCCACACUGGGACUGAGACACGGCCCAGACUCCUACGGGAGGCAGCAGUAGGGAAUCUUCCGCAAUGGACGAAAGUCUGACGGAGCAACGCCGCGUGAGUGAUGAAGGUUUUCGGAUCGUAAAGCUCUGUUGUUAGGGAAGAACAAGUGCGAGAGUAACUGCUCGCACCUUGACGGUACCUAACCAGAAAGCCACGGCUAACUACGUGCCAGCAGCCGCGGUAAUACGUAGGUGGCAAGCGUUGUCCGGAAUUAUUGGGCGUAAAGGGCUCGCAGGCGGUUUCUUAAGUCUGAUGUGAAAGCCCCCGGCUCAACCGGGGAGGGUCAUUGGAAACUGGGAAACUUGAGUGCAGAAGAGGAGAGUGGAAUUCCACGUGUAGCGGUGAAAUGCGUAGAGAUGUGGAGGAACACCAGUGGCGAAGGCGACUCUCUGGUCUGUAACUGACGCUGAGGAGCGAAAGCGUGGGGAGCGAACAGGAUUAGAUACCCUGGUAGUCCACGCCGUAAACGAUGAGUGCUAAGUGUUAGGGGGUUUCCGCCCCUUAGUGCUGCAGCUAACGCAUUAAGCACUCCGCGUGGGGAGUACUUUCGCAAGACUGAAACUCAAAGGAAUUGACGGGGGCCCGCACAAGCGGUGGAGCAUGUGGUUUAAUUCGAAGCAACGCGAAGAACCUUACCAGGUCUUGACAUCCUCUGACAACCCUAGAGAUAGGGCUUUCCCUUCGGGGACAGAGUGACAGGUGGUGCAUGGUUGUCGUCAGCUCGUGUCGUGAGAUGUUGGGUUAAGUCCCGCAACGAGCGCAACCCUUGAUCUUAGUUGCCAGCAUUCAGUUGGGCACUCUAAGGUGACUGCCGGUGACAAACCGGAGGAAGGUGGGGAUGACGUCAAAUCAUCAUGCCCCUUAUGACCUGGGCUACACACGUGCUACAAUGGACAGAACAAAGGGCUGCAAGACCGCAAGGUUUAGCCAAUCCCAUAAAUCUGUUCUCAGUUCGGAUCGCAGUCUGCAACUCGACUGCGUGAAGCUGGAAUCGCUAGUAAUCGCGGAUCAGCAUGCCGCGGUGAAUACGUUCCCGGGCCUUGUACACACCGCCCGUCACACCACGAGAGUUUGCAACACCCGAAGUCGGUGAGGUAACCUUUAUGGAGCCAGCCGCCGAAGGUGGGGCAGAUGAUUGGGGUGAAGUCGUACAGGGGUUACCCUUAA